rnacentral:rRNA from 1 species
CCUACGGGGCGCUGCAGUGGGGAAUAUUGCACAAUGGGGGAAACCCUGAUGCAGCGACGCCGCGUGAGUGAAGAAGUAAUUCGUUAUGUAAAGCUCUAUCAGCAGGGAAGAAAAUGACGGUACCUGAGUAAGAAGCCCCGGCUAACUACGUGCCAGCAGCCGCGGUAAUAAGUAGGGGGCAAGCGUUAUCCGGAUUUACUGGGUGUAAAGGGAGCGUAGACGGCAGUGCAAGUCUGGAGUGAAAGGCGGGGGCUCAACCCCCGGACUGCUCUGGAAACUGUACGGCUGAAGUGCAGGAGAGGUAAGUGGAAUUCCUAGUGUAGCGGUGAAAUGCGUAGAUAUUAGGAGGAACACCAGUGGCGAAGGCGGCUUACUGGACUGUAACUGACGUUGAGGCUCGAAAGCGUGGGGAGCAAACAGGAUUAGAUACCCCAGUAGUC